rnacentral:rRNA from 1 species
GACGAACGCUGGCGGCGUGCUUAACACAUGCAAGUCGAACGGUGAAGGGACCGGUUUUUGCUGGUUCUGGAUGAGUGGCGAACGGGUGAGUAACACGUGAGUAACCUGCCCCCUUCUUCUGGAUAACCGCAUGAAAGUGUGGCUAAUACGGGAUAUUCUGCGCCUGCUGCAUGGUGGGUGUGGGAAAGAUAUUGUUUCGGUGGGGGAUGGGCUCGCGGCCUAUCAGCUUGUUGGUGGGGUGAUGGCCUACCAAGGCGGUGACGGGUAGCCGGCCUGAGAGGGUGGACGGUCACACUGGGACUGAGACACGGCCCAGACUCCUACGGGGGGCAGCAGUGGGGAAUAUUGCACAAUGGGCGCAAGCCUGAUGCAGCGACGCCGCGUGAGGGAUGGAGGCCUUCGGGUUGUAAACCUCUUUCGCCAGUGAAGCAGGCCUGUCCCUUUUGUGGGUGGGUUGACGGUAGCUGGAUAAGAAGCGCCGGCUAACUACGUG